rnacentral:ncRNA from 1 species
AACAUACUAAGUGAUUACUUUCAAAUUCAGAGAAACCCUGGAAUUAGAAAUGGGCAAUCCUGAGCCAAAUCCUGUUUUCCGAAAAAAAAAAGAAUUCAAUCAAAAGAAUCAAAUCAAAAAAGGAUAGGUGCAGAGACUCAAUGGAAGCUGUUCUAAAAAAUGGAGUUGACUGCUGCAUUACGUAAGUCAAGGAAUCCUUGCAUCGAAACUUUUUCAAGGAUAACCUUUCUUUCUAGAAAACUCUCAAAAUAUAAAAUCUAAAGACUUUUUGAAUCAAUUGGAAGUUGAAGAAAGAAUCAAAUAUGAUUUUAUAAAAUCAUUUACUCCAAAGUCUGAUAUAUCUUUUUCAAAAUAGAUUAGUCAGACGAGAAUAAAGAUAGAGUCCCAUUCUAUAUGUCAAUAUUGAC